rnacentral:rRNA from 1 species
GGGUCAGUAGGUUGGUCGUGCCACCGGUACGUACUGGUCUCACUGAUUCCUCCUUCCUGAAGAACCGUAAUGCCAUUAAUUUGGUGUUGCGGGGAGACAGGACUGUUACUUUGAAAAAAUUAGAGUGUUUAAAGUAAGCUAACGCUUGAAUACAUUAGCAUGGAAUAAUGAAAUAGGACGAUCGAUCCUAUUUUGUUGGUUUCUAGGAUUGACGUA